UACGGAGGGAGCUAGCGUUGUUCGGAAUUACUGGGCGUAAAGCGCGCGUAGGCGGCUUUUGUAAGUUAGAGGUGAAAGCCCGGAGCUCAACUCCGGAACUGCCUUUAAAACUGCAUCGCUUGAAUCCAGGAGAGGUGAGUGGAAUUCCGAGUGUAGAGGUGAAAUUCGUAGAUAUUCGCAAGAACACCAGGUGGCGAAGGCGGCUCACUGGCCCGAUACUGACGCUGAGGUGCGAAAGCG
rnacentral:rRNA from 1 species